rnacentral:rRNA from 1 species
AUACUGCAAGUCGAGCGGUAGAGUGACUUCGGUUGCUUGAGAGCGGCAGACGGGUGAGUAACGCGUACAUGACCUGCCCACAAGAAGUGGAUAGCCCUGGGAAACUGGGAUUAAUACACUAUGUGAUUACUGAAGAUAAGUUUUGGUAAUUAAAGUUGAGGCGCUUGUGGAUGGAUGUGCGUCUGAUUAGCUAGUUGGUGAGGUAGUGGCUCACCAAGGCGACGAUCAGUAGGGGGCGUGAGAGCGUGACCCCCCACACGGGUACUGAGACACGGACCCGACUCCUACGGGAGGCAGCAGUAAGGAAUAUUGGUCAAUGGAGGGAACUCUGAACCAGCCAUUCCGCGUGGAGGAAGAAGGCCCUAUGGGUUGUAAACUUCUUUGAGAUGGGAGUAAAAUGAUCUUUGCGAAGGUUACUGAAGGUACCAUCAGAAUAAGCACCGGCUAACUCCGUGCCAGCAGCCGCGGUAAUACGGAGGGUGCGAGCG